GCUGCAGGAGACAGCGGCGGCCAUGGCUUCUGCUUGCUGCUGGAGGCAGAUCUUGAUUCUUGCCACAAGUGGAAGGAAGACACGCCACGCCGCCUACCGGCGCCUUCCAGAUCUGGAAACCUCCGUUUUGUUUUUCAGCAAGACAUAGCGGAUGGAUCUCUGCCUCAACUCAAUUUUAGUUACAGCUAGCGAUUAUAUAGUGAGAGACAAAGUAAAGCUCUUCUAUCGGUGUGUAUCUGGACCUGCAAGCUUGUUCUAUAUGUUUGGCGACAUCAUCUCUUGAUGUCUCAAUGGAGAAACUUAAUUACAAGUAAACUACUUGGUGUUCACGUUUAAUUUGUUUCUCUUGAAGAAUGUUGAUAUAUCAUACAUUCAUACAUUCCAACAAAAAAAUUCCUCUCUCUGGAUGUGCCUGUGUUCGCGUCGCCUGGAAAUUCUGACCACAUUUGUUCUCCGCAUUUUAACCGUGUUGUUCAUGUCUUAUCUAGAUUCAUAUCGAUGCCAAUGUAUCUAGACACAUUGAUUGAUUCAUAUUGACGCUAAUGUAUCGAUGAAUGAAGGCUAAAAAGUCCAUGAAAAUUCUGCAC